CUCAGAUUGAACGCUGGCGGCAGGCCUAACACAUGCAAGUCGAACGGUAACAGGAAGCAGCUUGCUGCUUGCUGACGAGUGGCGGACGGGUGAGUAAUGUCUGGGAAACUGCCUGAUGAGGGGGAUAACUACUGGAAACGGUAGCUAAUACCGCAUAACGUCGCAAGACCAAAGAGGGGGACCUUCGGGCCUCUUGCCAUCAGAUGUGCCCAGAUGGGAUUAGCUUGUUGGUGGGGUAACGGCUCACCAAGGCGACGAUCCCUAGCUGGUCUGAGAGGAUGACCAGCCACACUGGAACUGAGACACGGUCCAGACUCCUACGGGAGGCAGCAGUGGGGAAUAUUGCACAAUGGGCGCAAGCCUGAUGCAGCCAUGCCGCGUGUAUGAAGAAGGCCUUCGGGUUGUAAAGUACUUUCAGCGGGGAGGAAGGUGUUGUGGUUAAUAACCACAGCAAUUGACGUUACCCGCAGAAGAAGCACCGGCUAACUCCGUGCCAGCCGCGGC
rnacentral:rRNA from 1 species